CAAGUCGAACGCGAAAGUUCCCUUCGGGGGGCAAGUAGAGUGGCGCACGGGUGAGUAACACGUAGGUAAUCUACCUUUGGAUUGGGAAUAACCACCGGAAACGGUGGCUAAUACCGAAUAAUGCAGCGGCACCUAAUGGUGACAGUUGUUAAAGCGGGGGAUCGUAAGACCUCGCGUCUGAAGAGGAGCCUGCGGCAGAUUAGCUAGUUGGUAAGGUAACGGCUUACCAAGGCGAUGAUCUGUAGCCGGCCUGAGAGGGCGGUCGGCCACACUGACACUGACAUACGGGUCAGACUCCUACGGGAGGCAGCAGUCGGGAAUUUUGGGCAAUGGGCGAAAGCCUGACCCAGCAACGCCGCGUGAAGGAUGAAAUCCUUCGGGAUGUAAACUUCGCAAGAACGGGAAGAAUAAGUAAGAGUUAAUAUCUCUUACGAUGACGGUACUGUUUGUAAGCUCCGGCUAACUCCGUGCCAGCAGCCGCGGUAAUACGGGGGGAGCAAGCGUUGUUCGGAUUUACUGGGCGUAAAGGGCGCGUAGGCGGCCACCGCAAGUCGACUGUGAAAUCUCCGGGCUUAACCCGGAAAGGUCAGCCGAUACUGCGGGGCUAGAGUGCAGAAGGGGCAACUGGAAUUCUCGGUGUAGCGGUGAAAUGCGUAGAUAUCGAGAGGAACACCUGCGGCGAAGGCGGGUUGCUGGGCUGACACUGACGCUGAUGCGCGAAAGCUAGGGGAGCGAACGGGAUUAGAUACCCCGGUAGUCCUAGCCUUAAACGAUGAAUGCUUGGUGUCUGGGGUUUUAUAGUCCCCGGGUGCCGUCGCUAACGCUUUAAGCAUUCCGCCUGGGGAGUACGGUCGC
rnacentral:rRNA from 1 species